CCUGUAUUUAUAGGGCAGUUCCUUAAAGUGAUCGGCGGAGUUAGGGCAUACUCUAAGCGUAGUAAUAUUCUUCUCGCUUCUGUAGUUGUCCUGGCGGCUUGCCGUUAAACCCCUAUAUUUCUAGUGGUUGACCUCGGAUUAGGUAGGAAUACCCGCUGAACUUAAGCAUAUCAAUAAGCGGAGGAAAAGAAACCAACAGGGAUUGCCCUAGUAACGGCGAGUGAAGCGGCAACAGCUCAAAUUUGAAAUCUGGCCCUAGCGGUCCGAGUUGUAAUUUGUAGAGGAUGCUUUUGGUUAGGUGCCUUCUGAGUUCCCUGGAACGGGACGCCAGAGAGGGUGAGAGCCCCGUACGGUUGGACACCGAGCCUCUAUAUAGCUCCUUCGACGAGUCGAGUAGUUUGGGAAUGCUGCUCUAAAUGGGAGGUAAAUUUCUUCUAAAGCUAAAUACCGGCCAGAGACCGAUAGCGCACAAGUAGAGUGAUCGAAAGAUGAAAAGUACUUUGAAAAGAGGGUUAAAUAGCACGUGAAAUUGUUGAAAGGGAAGCGUUUGCGACCAGACUUUUUCCAGGCGGAUCAUCCUGUGUUCUCACCGGUGCACUUCGCCUGGUUUAGGCCAGCAUCGGUUCUCUUAGGGGGAUAAAGGCCUGGGGAACGUAGCUCCUUCGGGAGUGUUAUAGCCCCUAGCGUAAUACCCUUCGGGGGACCGAGGAACGC
rnacentral:rRNA from 1 species